rnacentral:tRNA from 1 species
CAGGAAAUAGUUUAGUUUAGAAUUCUGGCUUUGGGAGCCAGGGGUGGGAGUUAGAAUCUCCUUUUUCUGG